AGGUUCCAGAAGACCCUUGGAUCCCUUCUCUGAGGCCGUGUACGAGGAGAUUGAUUAUAACCUGAUGAGAGAGAAGCAGGAGAUGUUCAGUCGCUCAGUCUCCUAUUCAGAUGACUCAGUGACGAAGCUGCAGUAUUACACCGGGGACAGCGAGGGGGAAAACGAUCCUGGAUCAGAACAAGAGGGAGCUUCCCCAGGGGGGUCUCAGCUGGAUUACGAUAACGUGGAGGAGCCUGCCUUGAACGACAUCUCCCAGACUCCAGACGGCCGAGGUG